rnacentral:rRNA from 1 species
GUGGGGAAUAUUGGACAAUGGGCGAAAGCCUGAUCCAGCAAUGCCGCGUGAGUGAUGAAGGCCUUAGGGUUGUAAAGCUCUUUUACCCGGGAAGAUAAUGACUGUACCGGGAGAAUAAGCCCCGGCUAACUCCGUGCCAGCAGCCGCGGUAAUACGGAGGGGGCUAGCGUUGUUCGGAAUUACUGGGCGUAAAGCGCACGUAGGCGGCUUUGUAAGUCAGAGGUGAAAGCCUGGAGCUCAACUCCAGAACUGCCUUUGAGACUGCAUCGCUUGAAUCCAGGAGAGGUGAGUGGAAUUCCGAGUGUAGAGGUGAAAUUCGUAGAUAUUCGGAAGAACACCAGUGGCGAAGGCGGCUCACUGGACUGGUAUUGACGCUGAGGUGCGAAAGCGUGGGGAGCAA